rnacentral:lncRNA from 1 species
AGUUCGAUUUGAUGAUCAAGAGCUUUCAUUACCUAUAAAUUCCAAUGGGAAUUUAAAAUUAUCUAUUGAAGCAAUAUUUCCCUCAAGCAUCUGGGUUAACCUAUUCUGCAAAUAAUCAAAAAUGUGGCUUGCCUAUAUUGAAUCGGAAGAAAUUUUAAUUAACCGUAAAAUUGAGUAUUAUGAUGUACACGUUUGACAAGAUUUAAAAAGUUCCAUCUCAAGCAAGAAAAGAAAACUAGUCCAUGAAAUGAUCAAUAAAAUCCAACUUAGCCAAGAAGUAAAUUCUUCUAAAACUCACAUGACGAAAAUGAAGAACAAGUGGGCUGAUUGUUCUACUGUAGUCUCAGCACAACCUGCAUUAAAAAGAGUACGACUUGGAUGGCUAGUAAAAAGAGGAGAUCGUUAUGAGCAUAAAUGAAGAAACCUAUAGGUGGAGUCAGAGAAGUACCUUUAGAAGUAGGCAAGAAAUAUUUAGUUAGUGAUAUAAAAAAAAAUUGCGAUAGAGAAGUUUUCUUGCAAUAGCGAAGUAUCAUUUCAAAAUUCGGAUGUACGUCUUGGUCUUUUUGAUCGCACUAUACUAACCAGCUUUAGAGACAGCAAGGGUAUUUCCUGUUACUUGUGGACUUUUCUAAAAGAGCAAAAAUCGAGAUUAUUUACUUUGUAUAUAAUAACGUCUCCAAAAGGAUGUGCUGAGACAUGUGAACAACU